rnacentral:lncRNA from 1 species
AUGACUGAGCUGCUGCCCUUAGACAGGGACAGGCACACGCUCCUCCUUGCCCACUGCUGGUGCACAAACACGUGCCACAAACACGCACGCCCGGGCAGCGCAAGCGUCACACGGGCCUGCACAGCCCGGGGCAAUCGAGAACGCCUCUCUCGACUGAAAGAAGGAGCCGUGGUGGAAGGGGGGAAGAGCGUGGAGAUGGCUCGUGCAUCUCUCAGAAGGGAGGUAAAAACCUACUGGCCGAAAACCCGAGGACGCCGCCUUCACACUCUUCGGUUCCUUAAAUCCUGUGAGGGGAGGAUGACUGCUACGUCAGGAUGGACGAUCGUAAGAACUUGAGGGGGAGCGGGUGUAGCUCGGUGGUUGAGCACCUGCUUCCCAGGUACAGGUCCUGGGUUCAAUCCCCGGUACCUCCUUAAAAAAUAAAAAGGACGUGUGGUUGCUCUCACCGCUCAGCAGCUCCCCGGUGACGUGGCACAUCCACCACUGACGGGUCCCCAUGGCAGCUCCAGGCAAGUCUUCUGGAAGAGAAAGAAUCUUGGUGGCAUGAGAAUGAGCCGUUGGCCAAAUUUACAGAAAGCAAGUAUUUCAGACAUCCCAGAUUCAGAUCGACUUGCUUGCCUGGCAGUAACCACAGAACCUUAGAGCAGAGCCAGCCUUCCCCACGCCGGCACGACUUACGUUUGGGGCCGGGAGCUGUCCUAUCAUCCUCAGAUGUUCCACAGCAUCCCUGGACGCCAGUCCAGAUACCCAGUGGAGACCAAAAAUGUCUCAGACACUGCCAAAUGUCCCCUAAGGAAAUAAAAUGCUCCGACCACUGAGCUGGAGGGAGUUUAAAGAACUUCGACUUCAGAGAUGAGGAAUGGGGUGCUUGCAGAGUGUGUUCAUCAGCCAAAGGGGUGCUGAUGCAAAAUACCAGAAACUGGUUGGUUUUUAUAAAGGGUGUUUAUUUGGGGUAGGAACUUUACAUUUACCAGGCCAUAAAGCAUAAGUUACUUCCCUCACCAAAGUCUAUUUCCACGUGUUGGAGCAAGAUGGCUGCCGACGUCUGUGAGAGCUCAGGCUUUCUGGGUUCCUCUGGGUUCAGCUCUGUUUUCUCCACGAGGUCAGUUAUAGACUAU